rnacentral:rRNA from 1 species
UACGAAGGGGGCUAGCGUUGUUCGGAAUUACUGGGCGUAAAGCGCGUGUAGGCGGGCCGUUAAGUCUGGGGUGAAAGCCCAGAGCUUAACUCUGGAAUUGCCUUCGAUACUGGCGGCCUGGAGCAUGAUAGAGGCGAGUGGAAGUGCGAGUGUAGAGGUGAAAUUCGUAGAUAUUCGCAGGAACACCAGUGGCGAAGGCGACUCGCUGGCUCAUUGCUGAAGCUGAGACGCGAAAGCGUGGGGAGCAAACAGG